UGGUGGCGGACCAACAACUCGUCGCACCGGCUCGUCAGCAGCUCUUUAGGAGCAUCUUCUACGGGCUGUUUGCCAGGCAUGCAUGGCUGGUCGCAGAAGCUGCUCUCCAGGGAGCUGGCAGCAGAUCGAUUCUUACAAGUUGCAAGCAGAUUCUUCUGUUGAUUUCGAUGCAUAGCUCCAAAUUUGCAGUCGUCGUCUUCCACGGGGUGAAGGAUGUGGUGUCUACCGCAA
rnacentral:lncRNA from 1 species